rnacentral:rRNA from 1 species
UACGUAGGCAGCGAGCGUUGUUCGGAGUUACUGGGCGUAAAGGGUGUGUAGGCGGUUGUUUAAGUUUGGUGUGAAAUCUCCCGGCUCAACUGGGAGGGUGCGCCGAAUACUGAAUGACUUCGAGUGCGGGAGAGGAAAGUGGAAUUCCUGGUGUAGCGGUGAUAUGCGUAGAUAUCGGGAGGAACACCUGUGGCGAAGGCGGCUUUCUGGGCCCUACCUGACGCUGAGACGCGGAAAGCGUGGGGAGCGAACCGG